AUCACUUCUCAGCCUUUUGGCUAAGAUCAAGUAUAUUAUCUGUUCUUAUCAGCUAAAUAUUUAAUACAUCCUCUAUCAGAAGACAAUAUAUUAAAUAAAUUAUCAGAGCAGGAAGAUGGAAUGAGAGCUUGCUGCAUCCACUCCACACACCAGCCUGGCAUUGUAGUAACUCUAGGAACAGUGCAGCAAUU